UACGGGGGGGGCAAGCGUUGUUCGGAAUUACUGGGCGUAAAGGGCUCGUAGGCGGCCAACUAAGUCAGACGUGAAAUCCCUCGGCUUAACCGGGGAACUGCGUCUGAUACUGGAUGGCUUGAGGUUGGGAGAGGGAUGCGGAAUUCCAGGUGUAGCGGUGAAAUGCGUAGAUAUCUGGAGGAACACCGGUGGCGAAGGCGGCAUCCUGGACCAAUUCUGACGCUGAGGAGCGAAAGCGUGGGGAGCGAACAGG
rnacentral:rRNA from 1 species